GAACUCGCGCAACUCAUCUACUCUCUCAUUUCUCCUCUGCUCAUCGGCCCUAGCGAAACUGCGUUCCCCUCUCAGUUUCUUCUGAGUUAGAAGCGGCAUUGCUCGAUUGUUCGUGAGGGAAAGAGGCUGAACCAAGAUUAGCAGGGAACCCUCGAAAUUUCUCCCUAUCUUUAUCCUCUGCACGUCAGCUUUGGCUCUGAAACUGAUUUCCCCUCUCAGUUUCUUCCGAGUUAGGAGCAGCAUCGCAACCGUUAGUGUGGGAAACAGGCCGAACCAAAAUUAGCAGGGAAGCGUAGAAAACAUUGCUGGCCAAGAGGAUGCGUACCAAGACGUUGCCUACCAAGGCGCUACCUAAAGAACCGAAGGAAAUAUUGGCGACCAAGAGGAUGCCUACCAAGAGACCGUUUGAAGAACCAAAGGUGAAUGUGGGUGAAUAUUCUACUCUACCAGCUAAGAAACUGAGAACACAUUUCAGCCCCAAUUCAUCUUAAGCUUAUGCUGAUGGAUGAUGUAUUAAACUUCGAGAUUCCGACUACAAAAAAACAUAAAAAGAACAAAAUGAUCUGCAGCGUUGGAGGAGGAUUGGCUUGGGGAAACUAGUUAACGGUCUCUAUCAUGUGAUGUCGCCUUCUAUUUCAGCUCCAAAGUCUCUCAUUGCUGCCUAUUCUUCUUUUGAGGUUUGGCAUAAAAGGCUUGGUCAUCCAUUUGAUUCCACACUAUUAUUACUUUGUGAUUUGCUUUCUUUUUCUUCUUUUAAGUCUGCCAAUAAUUGUCCUUGUAAUAUUUGUCCCAUGGCUAAGCAACAUUGCUUGCCAUUUCCUUCAAGCACUCCGAUGACUACUUUUAAUUUUCAGCUUGUUCAUGCUGAUAUUUGGGACCCUUUCUUGUGGCUUCCUUACAAGGAUUUUGUUAUUUUCUUUCCAUUGUAGAUGAUUUCUCUCGAUAUACAUGGAUAUUUCUAAUGCAAAAUAAAAGUGAGACACGUAUGCAUCUUUAUAA